UUGUACAGAUGCAGAUUUGGCAUUGGUUUGUAAUGAACGAGUACUGUUAUUGCUAUCAUAUAGCUCAGUUAAGACAGUGGUAUGGAAUAGAGGAAAUGAAGCUGGCUGGUGCUGAGAUUUGUACUCAGUUGGUGUUGGUUGCAGUUGCAGGACAUGGGUUCCGAUGGAAUUGAUAUGUGGUUUUAGAUAACUUCAUAAAAGCUAAUUGCUUAAACGUGG